rnacentral:rRNA from 1 species
UUUAUGGAGAGUUUGAUCCUGGCUCAGGAUGAACGCUGGCGGCGUGCCUAAUACAUGCAAGUCGAGCGAACGGACGAGAAGCUUGCUUCUCUGAUGUUAGCGGCGGACGGGUGAGUAACACGUGGAUAACCUACCUAUAAGACUGGGAUAACUUCGGGAAACCGGAGCUAAUACCGGAUAAUAUUUUGAACCGCAUGGUUCAAAAGUGAAAGACGGUCUUGCUGUCACUUAUAGAUGGAUCCGCGCUGCAUUAGCUAGUUGGUAAGGUAACGGCUUACCAAGGCAACGAUGCAUAGCCGACCUGAGAGGGUGAUCGGCCACACUGGAACUGAGACACGGUCCAGACUCCUACGGGAGGCAGCAGUAGGGAAUCUUCCGCAAUGGGCGAAAGCCUGACGGAGCAACGCCGCGUGAGUGAUGAAGGUCUUCGGAUCGUAAAACUCUGUUAUUAGGGAAGAACAUAUGUGUAAGUAACUGUGCACAUCUUGACGGUACCUAAUCAGAAAGCCACGGCUAACUACGUGCCAGCAGCCGCGGUAAUACGUAGGUGGCAAGCGUUAUCCGGAAUUAUUGGGCGUAAAGCGCGCGUAGGCGGUUUUUUAAGUCUGAUGUGAAAGCCCACGGCUCAACCGUGGAGGGUCAUUGGAAACUGGAAAACUUGAGUGCAGAAGAGGAAAGUGGAAUUCCAUGUGUAGCGGUGAAAUGCGCAGAGAUAUGGAGGAACACCAGUGGCGAAGGCGACUUUCUGGUCUGUAACUGACGCUGAUGUGCGAAAGCGUGGGGAUCAAACAGGAUUAGAUACCCUGGUAGUCCACGCCGUAAACGAUGAGUGCUAAGUGUUAGGGGGUUUCCGCCCCUUAGUGCUGCAGCUAACGCAUUAAGCACUCCGCCUGGGGAGUACGACCGCAAGGUUGAAACUCAAAGGAAUUGACGGGGACCCGCACAAGCGGUGGAGCAUGUGGUUUAAUUCGAAGCAACGCGAAGAACCUUACCAAAUCUUGACAUCCUUUGACAACUCUAGAGAUAGAGCNNGAGGUCAAGCAAAUCCCAUAAAGUUGUUCUCAGUUCGGAUUGUAGUCUGCAACUCGACUACAUGAAGCUGGAAUCGCUAGUAAUCGUAGAUCAGCAUGCUACGGUGAAUACGUUCCCGGGUCUUGUACACACCGCCCGUCACACCACGAGAGUUUGUAACACCCGAAGCCGGUGGAGUAACCUUUUAGGAGCUAGCCGUCGAAGGUGGGACAAAUGAUUGGGGUGAAGUCGUAACAAGGUAGCCGUAUCGGAAGGUGCGGCUGGAUCACCUCCUUUCU